rnacentral:rRNA from 1 species
AACGAACGCUGGCGGCAUGCCUAACACAUGCAAGUCGAACGAUACCUUCGGUUCUAGUGGCGCACGGGUGCGUAACGCGUUGGAACCUGCCCUUAGUUUCGGAAUAACUCCCCGAAAGGGGUGCUAAUACCGGAUAAUGUCUUCGGACCAAAGAUUUAUCGCCUUUGGAUGGGCCCGCUUUGGAUUAGCUGGUUGGUAGGGUAAAAGCCUACCAAGGCGACGAUGCAUAGCUGGUCUGAGAGGAUGAUCAGCUACACUGGGACUGAGACACGGCCCAGACUCGGACGGAGGGGAGCAGAGGGUAAUAUUGGGCAAGGGGGGAAAGCCUGAUCAAGCAGUGCGGGGGGAGUGAUGAAGGCGUUAGGAUUGUAAAGUCCUUUGACACGAAAUGAUAAUGACAGUACCGGGAGAAGAAGCACCGGCUAACUACGUG